ACAGAGACUGCAAGCGUUAUUCGGAUUCACUGGGCGUAAAGGGUGCGCAGGUGGCUGUGUGUGUGAAGUGUGAAAGCCCGGGGCUUAACUCCGGAAUUGCACCUCAAACUACAUGGCUAGAGCAUUGGAGAGGGUAGCAGAAUUCACGGUGUAGCAGUGAAAUGCGUAGAUAUCGUGAGGAAUACCAGAGGCGAAGGCGGCUACCUGGACAAUUGCUGACACUCAAGCACGAAAGCGUGGGGAGCAAAAGG
rnacentral:rRNA from 1 species